rnacentral:rRNA from 1 species
GAUGAACGCUAGCUACAGGCUUAACACAUGCAAGUCGAGGGGCAGCAUACUGAUAGCUUGCUAUCAGUGAUGGCGACCGGCGCACGGGUGAGUAACGCGUGAGCGACAUGCCCGAGACCGGGGGAUAACCGAUGGAAACGUCGCCUAACCCCCCAUACGACGAGGGACCGCAUGAUCCCUUGUUGAAAACUUUGGUGGUCACGGAUUGGCUCGCGUCCCAUUAGCUAGUCGGCGGGGUAACGGCCCACCGAGGCGACGAUGGGUAGGGGUUCUGAGAGGAAGGUCCCCCACACUGGAACUGAGACACGGUCCAGACUCC